rnacentral:rRNA from 1 species
CGAGGCAAAAAUAUAACCUUGACAAUGCCCAAUCUCACCUGAUCUCUGAAGCUAAGCUGGGUUGGGCCUGUUUAGUACUUGGAUCAGAUACCGCUGGGAAUACCAAGUGCCACAA